rnacentral:sRNA from 1 species
GACUGGUGACAGAGUGAGGGGAUGACUGGUGACAGAGUGAGGGAGUGACUAGUGACAGAGGGAGGUAGUGACUAGUGACAGAGGGAGGUAGUGACUAGUGACAGAGUGAGGGAGGGAGUGACUGUCACUAGUCACCCCAUCCCUCUCUCUGUCACUAGUCACUCCCUCCCUAACUCUGUCACUGUGUCACCCGCUCCCUCACUCUGUCACUAGUCACCCCCUCACUCACUCUGUCACUAAUCACCCCCUCACUCACUCUGUCACUAAUCACCCCCUCUGUCCCUAGUCACCCCAUCCCUCUCUCUGUCACUAGUCACCCCAUCCCUCUCUCUGU